AACGAACGCUGGCGGCAUGCCUAACACAUGCAAGUCGAACGAGACCUUCGGGUCUAGUGGCGCACGGGUGCGUAACGCGUGGGAACCUGCCCUUAGGUUCGGAAUAACUCCCCGAAAGGGGUGCUAAUACCGGAUAAUGUCUUCGGACCAAAGAUUUAUCGCCUUUGGAUGGGCCCGCGUUGGAUUAGCUAGUUGGUAGGGUAAAAGCCUACCAAGGCGACGAUCCAUAGCUGGUCUGAGAGGAUGAUCAGCCACACUGGGACUGAGACACGGCCCAGACCCCUACGGGGGGCCGCAGGGGGGAAUAUUGGAAAAUGGGCGAAAGCCUGAUCCAGCAAGGCCGGGUGGGUGAUGAAGGCCUUAGGGUUGUAAAGCUCUUUUCCCCGGGAUGAUAAUGACAGUACCGGGAGAAUAAGCCCCGGCUAACUCCGU
rnacentral:rRNA from 1 species